GACGAAGGGGGCUAGCGUUGUCCGGAUUUAUUGGGCGUAAAGAGCGUGUAGGCGGCCAGGUAGGUCUGGUGUGAAAACUCGAGGCUUAACCUCGAGAUGUCAUCGGAAACCAUCUGGCUAGAGUCCGGAAGAGGAGAGUGGAAUUCCUGGUGUAGCGGUGAAAUGCGCAGAUAUCAGGAAGAACACCAAUGGCGAAAGCAGCUCUCUGGGACGGUACUGACGCUGAGACGCGAAAGCGUGGGGAGCGAACAGG
rnacentral:rRNA from 1 species